AGGAAUAGAACAGAAAACAUUACAGAGGAAGGAGGCAGAGUUUCAGCAGCCUCUUCCAAUUUUUCUUCUGAGAUGGAUGGCUCAACAGGGCCUUCCGAUUGAGUCUUACUUGGGAAAGGAGCUACAAAUGAAAAACAAAUAAGUAGCAGUAAUUAUAAGCAGGAAAUUAAUUUCAAAAGAAAUAACGUACUGAGAGGAUGACGAGUCUUGCGAUGUGCAUGCGAGAUGACAGGGGCAAAGGUUUUCUUAAGAAAGAUAUCCCAAUUUAUAGCAUAGCGAAAACCCAACACCCCCGUAUAAUUCGGCCUAAAGCUGACCAAUUUGAAAAAUCGCCACAGACGAAUUUCCAUAGCCGAAAUCUGAUCGGCGUCAGCUAUACUCUU
rnacentral:lncRNA from 1 species